UCAUAUUGCUAUAGAUAAUGUUGAUUACUUCGUCUGAAGACUGUUCAUAUCUCUUGAUAACUUAUCAAUUGGGGAAUAGGUCUUACCUUUAUAAAUUUGACUUAGUUCUCUGUAUGUCUCAGAAUAAAGCCUUUAUCAGAAAAAUUUGCAUCAAAUUUUUUUUUCAAUUACUACUGCUGUUUUCCCCUCCAACCUAUUCCCCAUCUCAUUUAUUCUAUUUUUCACUCUCUUUUCACCCUGUCCUUGAAAAUGUUUUGCUUUUGACUACCCCUAUCUGCUUUCCCUUCUACCAUCACCCCCUUCUCUUAUGCCCUUUCAGUUCUGCUUUCCUAUAGGAUAAAAUAGAAUUCUAUAUUCCAAUUCAAUGUGCAUGUUAUUCUAUUUUUGAGCCAAUUCUGAUUUAAAAAAAAAAAAAGAUUCAUUUGUUCCCUUUUACCUACAUUUUUUCUUGUCUCUUGAGAAUAUAGCAUCCUGCCCCAGUGCUGGCAAAGAAACCUCUAUAAUCUCCUUCUGACCAGUUGCUUGACCCUUGCACCAUUUCAUUUGUGGGCUGAGAAGUCUGGAAGCAGCAAUUUUUGCAAUUUUGACUCCCAAGGCCCACUCCUGGUUUGCUGGGGCCAGGGAUGUAGUAGUGUAACAGAUCUUUCCUGAUGUCCUUCUAAGUUGUCUUUGACUGAAAAAUUAUUCCAUCUUGUUUUUUUUCAUGGGUUCUGCUGCUCCAGGGAUUAUUUUAUGGCAUUAUUUAAAGGAGUCGGAAAAGGUUUGGGGGAGAACUCAGGCAAGUUACUGUCUUUUCUCCACCAUCUUGGCUCUACCCCACAACGUUUUUUUUUUUUUUUUUAAUAGUUAGCCAACAAAAUCAGUUACAGCAUAUCUCCAAGGCCUUCUCUUACACAAAAUCACAAUUCUCUUAGCAGGCUGAUGGAGUCAGCACAUGCACCAUAUCAUCAUUAUGGAAGUCAAAGAAUACUACAAGCAUCCCAAGAGUUCAAGUAUCAAGGAAACAUAGUCAGAAUCACACAAGACUUAGAAGCAACUAUUAUAAGAAAGAGAAAAUCUUAGAACACAGUGUUCCAAAAGACAAAGAUAAAGGCUUUAUAACCAAAAAAAAACACUGAAAAACUGAGUUUAAUCUACAGAUCAGAGAAAUGGACUUUUAAUAAAAGACUUUUAAAAACUCCUAAGAAAAAGACCAGACACAUGUAUACAUAUAUUGUAUUUAACUUAUACUCUAACAUAUUUAAUAUGUAUUGGUCAACCUGCCAUCUGGGGGAGGGGAUGGGAGGAAGGAGGGGAAAAGUUGGAACAAAAGGUUUUGCAAUUGUCAAUGCUGAAAAAUUACCCAUGCAUAUAUCUUGUAAAUAAAAAGCUAUAAUAAAAAAAAAAAAGAAAAAGAAAGAAAAAGACCAGAACUGAGUAGAAACUUUGAAAUGCAAACAGGGAGCAAUAGAAAUCUACAAAUAGAAAUACAUUUGAGCAAUCAGAGGGAACAAAAUAAUUAAUGAUAAAGUGUUUACAUUCUAUUGGGAAGGAAUAGAAAAUUCAGAAUUCUAAUAAAUAUUCAAGGGUCACAAAGGAAGUUAAGUGAGAUAAACACAAAGUCUGGUUGUUUCAUUGGAUUUAGGAAAGGAAAGAGAAGGAAGAAGAAAAGUCUUAUACUAAGGGAAAAUGAGGAAGAAAAGAGAGAGAAACUUGCUACUUCAAAUAAAUGAGGUAUUCAAGAAGAGUGGAGCUAGUAGCACAAUGGCCUCUCUCUGGUCCAUACCAGAUUAAGAAGAGUUGACCCCCAUAUGUAAAGUUUGGCAUAGAAAUACAUUAAAGUCAGUGAGGAAAAAGGUAGCAGAUGGGUUAAGAGGGAUAGUAGAAUCAGAGAGAUAAUAGUAAAAAACAUAAAAAAAAACUCCAAAAUUUCAGCUUUGAGGGGGUGUUCAUAAUAAGAAAUUUAAAAGAAAAAAAAAGAAAACAAGAAAAAAAUCAGGAUUUGGACCUGCUGAAGAUGGGGGUGGGUGGGGAAGAGAGAAGGAAAAGGAACAGAAGAGUAGGAACAGACCACUUCCAUUAUGGUUUACCAGUAUUGAUAAGAUUCCUUUUUUUUGUCCAUACUCUACUUCUUUGUAAAGAAAAGGUGGAUGGGCAGCUAGAUGAUGCAGUGGAUAAAGCACCAGCCCUGAAGUCAGAAGGACCCGAGUUUCAAAUCUGAACUCAGACACUUAACAUUGCCUCGCUGUGUGACCCUGGGAAGGAAACCAGACCAGCUGGUCCAUCCACUGCACCAAGAAAGCGAGUUCACCCUUCAGCCUCAGCACCUAGGAGAAGACGGUGCGGACGCACACGCGUCAGAGGCAGGAACCACUCGGGAGCGAGGGAGCGGGCGCUGAUCCUGGGCUCUAAGCAACAAGAGUAAACUUUAAACCAAGGAUCCAGACCCUGGAGGGCGCUGGGACCAAUCAGAGCUGGCUUCCUGUCACAGCUGCCCAUUGCAAUCCUUCUUCACCUCUACUGAGAAUAAAGAUUGAAGAUUUUCCCCUUAACCUGAAUUCCUGACUCCGGCUGAUUUUAAAUACGUGGUCAUCAAAUUUGGCGCCCAAGCAUGGAUACCAAGGACCCUACUUCACUGAAGAAGUCUCCAGUGACCAGGAACUUAGGUGAGUAUAAUAGACUAAACUUAGUAACCUUUUUUGGCUGAAAUGGGACAGAUGCUAGCUAAAGAUUCUCCAUCCCCCACCCCAACCCCCCCAACCCCAGCCCCACCCAGGAGUGGUGCUAUAGAAAGCCUGCUUAAGCUGAUAGAAGAUCAUGGGCUACUUGUAACUUGGUAACAGACAGCUAGACUUCUGGGUACAUUAAAACCCACCUCCCCUUGGUUCUUAGAGGAAGAGCAAAUCUCUCCAGAUAAUUGGGCAUUGAUUGGUCAACAGCUCUCUGCAUAUUACAAAAAAACGGUUCUCAUUCAAUUUCUAUCAAGGCAUUCUAUUUAUACAAUAUAAUACAGUUGGCCUUAAGAAGUCGUAUAAAUUCUAGAAGAAAAGGAAAAAAUUCUAGGAAUAGCCAAAUGGGGAAGCCUGAGAUAAAGGAGGAAGACAAAGAACAGAUUAAUGACCAUAUCCCCGCAGGGCAUGGAGACUUAAGUGAGGCUCAAGGGUGGGGUGAAUCUGAGGCAGCUUCAGCCCCACCUGAGGAGCAGGUAAUUGUGUCUCCUCCAUCAACUCCACCUUCCGGGAUGGAGGGAGAAGUGGUAGUGGGGUGGGGAGGGGGGGGCAGUGACAGCACCAGCACCUCCCCACCAGCAUCCAGCCUUUCCUAUGAGUAGAUUGCAAAAGGGACUAAUUAAGGCCAAAGCACAAGGGAGAAAUGUAUCAGAAUUUCAACACCACAUUUUUCCUGUAAUUCAACAGUUUAAUUCUUCAGGUCAAGAAAGUAGAUGAUACGCUCCUUUUGAAAUAGAAAUCCUCAAAGACCUGAAAAAGGCUUGCACUCUUUAUGGGGCUACAUCAGUUUAUGUUAAGAUGUUAAUACAGAAUUUGGCUUUUGAAAUCUUGACCCCUAAUGACUGGAAAUCUAUAGCAAGGAUAUGCCUAGAACUUGGACAAAACUACUUGUGGCUUUCUGAAUAUAGUGAGCUCUGUAGGAUACAAGCCCAACAAAAUAGUCAAAGUGGAAUUCAUGCUGCACCUGUGACCUACUAACAGGUGUAGGUUCCUAUGCAGACAUCGCAGUACAGAUUAAUUAUUCCAUAGCAGCAUAUGAGCAAAUUGCUGCUAAUGCUAUCAAAGCGUGGGCUUCUCUCCACAAUGAAGAUGACAAAGGUGGGGCCUUCACAAAAAUAACACAAGGGCCAAAUGAACCCUUGGCUGACUUUGUGGGACGUUUGCAGACAGCUAUCACAAGAACGAAUGGGGAAAAUGUAGUAACAGACAUUUUGAUAAGGCAACUUGCUAAGGAAAAUGCUAAUGAGGUUUGCAGAGGAAUUAUACUAGGACUGCACAAGAAUGCUCCUUUAAAGGAACUCAUAAGGCUAUGCCACAGUGGGUACAAAUGCUUAUUAUACCCAAACUAUGUUGAAUAUGGAAAGACAGGAUCCUUUUUGGCAAAGAAAUUCUAGAGAAACUUGUAGAUGCUUUCAGUGUGGAAAAGUUGGACAUUUGAGAGCUCAUUGUAGAUAUGGAGAUAGAAUGAGAAGACAGGGUAAGAGAAUAAAACCCAAAACCCCAUGUCCAAAAUGUAACCGAGGCUUUCACUGGGCCUCUGAAUGUAGAUUGAUCCAGAGAAAUGAGAGGCAGGGCCCAGCUCCAAGGUAUCAAUCAAAAGAUAGGUGGGGCAUGAUAGCAGCUGAGGUUACACCCAGAGAGUCUUUAGAAAUUCAGGACUCUGAUGUCAUCCACCAACAGAAAAGCAAUCAGGAUUACAGUUGGGGAGGUUAGAGGCCUUUUAACACAACAGGGCAGUGUCCAGUGCAAACAGCUCCACUAUCUUUAGAUAAUCACCAGGUGAUGUGAAGAGAUCCAGAAAGUGGUAAAUAGAAGGGAAUUAGGUUAACUACUUGGGGAAGAGGGUUUGCUUAUAUUUUUACAGGAGGAGAAGGAAUCAGAUGGGUGCUAACAAGCCGUAUUCGCCUUGUCCAUCACAGAGAGACGGAGCAGAUCCUUGAAACGAAGAAGACCCAAGAAAUAUCGGGUGGUUCUGUUGCUGAUUGUGCUCACCAUUGAAAGAACGUGGCAGUUAUGGUGCCAUGGACAUAGAAAAUUGUAGGACUUGAAAACCCUCAGGAAUCACUGGAUUCUCUGAGACAUAAGAUUGUUGUAGGACUUGAAAACCCUCAGGAAUCAUUGGAUUCUUUGAGACAUAAGACUUGAAAGCCCUCAGGAAUCAUUGGAUUUUCUGAGAAAUGAUAAGACUCUUACAGGACUUCAAAAUCUGCUGGAAUCAUUGUUUUCCCUAACACAUAAAAAGACUUUUGCAGGACUUCAAAAAAUUGGGGGGAUCAUUGGAUUCCCUGAUAUGUGAAACAAUGGACAAUAGAUUGGUUUUGGGCUAUUUCUUGGCUGCUGAAGAAGGCAUAUGUGUGACUGCUGUUUACAUACUCUCCUUCUAGGACUUCUGGCAAUCUUUUACAACACAAUGUUGAUUUAUAUUGUUUGUUAUACCAUUACUUGUGUAUACAAUUCAUGUUUGUUACACCACAUCAAGCCUGCACUGGCUGUGGAGAGUGUGUCAUCACUAAUAGCCUGUGUGUUAUUGCUAUGUGCUUGUGUAAUACCUCCCAUGCUGAUGGGUUUGUGUAUAAUAAAACCUUUCAGCCCAGAAACCUGCUAGCAACCCCCACUUCCUUUUGGUGCUUUUCAUCUCCCUUCCUGAGAUGUCAGGGAGGGUGUGAUGGCUCUGAUCUCCCUGAGGAGUCAGAGAUGGCAUGACCACCUGUGUUCUGAAACAAAAGAAAGCAGGAGAUGUAAUGGGCUGAGGCUCGAGUUGGUGCACUGAGGUCCCAAGCACGUGAGGCUAAAUAGUAAUUGGACCAUACUCUAUUAAUAUAAAUGCUUGGAGAAAGAAUGGCCCUCGCCCACUCUUUGUGCAAGUUCUGAUGUGUUGUAUAGGCAAUGACGAUUUUGGUGGGUGGAGGCGGGGAGUGGAAAAGGAAGUGGUAAGAGAGACUGCUAGCUGGCGUCUUGACACAGCUGCUCACAUUGCUAUCGGCUACUGCCCUUCACCUUCUAUCCCCCUCUGCUAGCUGGCUUCCUGUCACAGCUGCCCAUUGCAAUCCUUCUUCACCUCUACUGAGAAUAAAGAUUGAAGAUUUUUCCCUUAA